UUGUGCCCUAGGGUAGGAGUGCCUGGGUCUUUUGUGGGAAGAACCAGACCCUCUCUGGGAGCUAAUGAAUUUUCUUCUAGAUGCCUUCUGGAAAUCCUGAGGACAUUUGAGCGGGCUUAUCAGGUGACCUACAGUCAGAGCUCCAAAAUUGCCACCCUGACAAAACAAGUUGGCAUCGGCCUGGAGAAGAAAGGCCGUGUGCACUUGGUUUGCUGGCAGACCCUCGGUAUCAUCACCAUUAUGGACGGAGUAGAGUGCAUCCACACGUUUGGUGCUGAUUUCCAAGAUAUCCGUGGCUUUCUUAUCGGUGACCACAGUGACAUGUUUAACCAGAAGGAUGAGCUCACCAACCAGGAUCCCCCUUCUCCCAGGAUGACUUCCUGACUUCCAUCCUGCCAUCCCUCAAGGAAAUUGACACCAUGGUCUCCAUUUUUACCCUGGAUGAUAAUCUCACAGAAGUACAGGCCCUGGUUGAAAGGGUGAGGGAGAAGAGCCGGAACAUCCAGGCCCUGGUGCACAGCACUGUGGGGCAGUCCUUGCCAGACCCUCUAAAGAAACUCUUUCCCUCGCUCAUCAGCAUCACAUGGCCACUUCUUUUCUUCGAUUACGAAGGGAGCUACGUUCAG